CUGCUACAAUGUAGGAUGAUUUUGAAGUUGGAGGAGAAAAUGAGAUGGGAGUUUUUCGACAUAAAGACCCUAACUGUCUUGGAGCGGAAUAUACAGAGUUCACGCAGAGUUAGACAAGACGAGCAUUUGAGGUUAAAAGGUUUCCAUGAGCUGAAGGUGGAACUACUUACAGUUGUGGUCAGCCGUGUUACCUCACACCACAUGGCUGAGAGGACGAUCGGGAGGAUGAAGCAGACGAGGGGUGCGGUUACACCAUAACCAGUUUGCGCUGCUGCCAGGGGCCAAACCCACAGGCUGAACACCCACUGGAGGUCCCCAGGCCUGGGUUUUAAAACCUCAGACUUGCCACAGCAGAACCCUUUUAUCUAAAGCAACUUGCACA